UACAUGGGGUGCAAACGUUGCUCGGAAUUAUUGGGCGUAAAGCGCGCGUAGGCGGUUACUUAAGUCGGAUGUGAAAUCCCUCGGCUUAACUGAGGAACUGCACGAGAUACUGCGAGACUUGAGUUCGGGAGAGGGAAGCGGAAUUCCGGGUGUAGCGGUGAAAUGCGUAGAUAUCCGGAGGAACACCGGUGGCGAAGGCGGCUUCCUGGACCGACACUGACGCUGAGGCGCGAAAGCUAGGGGAGCAAACGGG
rnacentral:rRNA from 1 species